UACGUAGGUGGCAAGCGUUGUCCGGAUUUACUGGGCGUAAAGAGCGCGCAGGCGGUUGUCCAAGUCGGGUGUGAAAGCCCCCGGCUCAACUGGGGAGGGUCACGCGAUACUGGUCGACUCGAAGGCAGGAGAGGGUAGUGGAAUUCCCGGUGUAGAGGUGAAAUGCGUAGAUAUCGGGAGGAACACCAGUGGCGAAGGCGACUACCCGGCCUGUUCCUGACGCUGAGGCGCGAAAGCUAGGGGAGCAAACGGG
rnacentral:rRNA from 1 species